rnacentral:tRNA from 1 species
AUAGGGGAGGACAGUUUGGUAGUUCGUCGGGCUCAUAACCCGGAGGUCGUUGGUUCAAAUCCAACCCCCGCUACCA